rnacentral:lncRNA from 1 species
GGAUUAGCUGAUGCUCGUUUUGUUAUUGCAGAGUCCUCUUCUAAUUCUUCUCGUGGCUGAGUGUUCUUCUAAUUCUUCUCGUGGCAGAGUCUUCUUCUAAUUCUUCUCGUGAUGGCAGAGUCUUCUCCUAAUUCUUCUCGUGACAUAGCUGCUGCUCGUUUUUGUUAUUGCAGAGUGGUAGCCAAUCAAUUUACUGCUACGACACCUAUGAAUGG